AUUGAACGUUGGCGGCACGCCUAAUACAUGCAAGUCGAACGAGAAAGCACUUCGGUGUGAGUACAGUGGCGGACGGGUGAGUAACGCGUAGGAAUUUGCCUAGUAGUGGGGGACAACUCGGGGAAACUCGAGCUAAUACCGCAUACGACCUUCGGGUGAAAGUGGGGGACCUUCGGGCCUCACGCUAUUAGAGAAGCCUGCGUUGGAUUAGCUUGUUGGUGGGGUAAAGGCCUACCAAGGCGACGAUCCAUAGCUGGUCUGAGAGGACGAUCAGCCACACUGGAACUGAGACACGGUCCAGACUCCUACGGGAGGCAGCAGUAGGGAAUCUUGGGCAAUGGGCGAAAGCCUGACCCAGCGAUGCCGCGUGUGUGAAGAAGGCCUUCGGGUUGUAAAGCACUUUCAGCAGUGAAGAAAUCCUCGGGACUAAUAUUCCCGGGAGUUGACGUUAACUGCAGAAGAAGAUCCGGCUAACUCCGUGCCAGCCGCCGCCGUAACAC
rnacentral:rRNA from 1 species